AGAGUUUGAUCCUGGCUCAGGACGAACGCUGGCAGCGUGCUUAACACAUGCAAGUCGAGCGGAAAGGCUCCUUUGGGGGUACUCGAGCGGCGAACGGGUGAGUAACACGUGAGUAACCUGCCCCAGUCUUUGGGAUAACCCUCGGAAACGGGGGCUAAUACCGGAUAUGACUGCUGACCGCAUGGUUGGUGGUGGAAAGUUUUUCGGUCUGGGAUGGGCUCGCGGCCUAUCAGCUUGUUGGUGGGGUGAUGGCCUACCAAGGCGACGACGGGUAGCCGGCCUGAGAGGGCGACCGGCCACACUGGGACUGAGACACGGCCCAGACUCCUACGGGAGGCAGCAGUGGGGAAUAUUGCACAAUGGGCGGAAGCCUGAUGCAGCGACGCCGCGUGAGGGAUGACGGCCUUCGGGUUGUAAACCUCUUUCAGCACCGACGAAGCGAGAGUGACGGUAGGUGCAGAAGAAGCGCCGGCCAACUACGUGCCAGCAGCCGCGGUAAGACGUAGGGCGCGAGCGUUGUCCGGAUUUAUUGGGCGUAAAGAGCUCGUAGGCGGCUUGUCGCGUCGACUGUGAAAUCCCGUGGCUCAACUGCGGGCUUGCAGCCGAUACGGGCAGGCUGGAGUUCGGUAGGGGAGACUGGAAUUCCUGGUGUAGCGGUGAAAUGCGCAGAUAUCAGGAGGAACACCGGUGGCGAAGGCGGGUCUCUGGGCCGAUACUGACGCUGAGGAGCGAAAGCGUGGGGAGCGAACAGGAUUAGAUACCCUAGUAGUCC
rnacentral:rRNA from 1 species